rnacentral:rRNA from 1 species
AGCGAACGCUGGCGGCAGGCCUAACACAUGCAAGUCGAGCGGCAGCGGGUCCUUCGGGAUGCCGGCGAGCGGCGGACGGGUGAGGAAUGCGUCGGAAUCUGCCUUUUUGUGGGGGAUAACGUAGGGAAACUUACGCUAAUACCGCACACGACCUACGGGUGAAAGGGGGGGACCGCAAGGCCUCACGCAGAAAGAUGAGCCGACGCCGGAUUAGCUAGUUGGCGGGGUAAAGGCCCACCAAGGCGACGAUCCGUAGCUGGUCUGAGAGGAUGAUCAGCCACACUGGAACUGAGACACGGUCCAGACUCCUACGGGAGGCAGCAGUGGGGAAUAUUGGACAAUGGGCGCAAGCCUGAUCCAGCCAUGCCGCGUGUGUGAAGAAGGCCUUCGGGUUGUAAAGCACUUUUGUCCGGAAAGAAAUCCAAUCGAUUAAUACUCGGUUGGGAUGACGGUACCGGAAGAAUAAGCACCGGCUAACUUCGUGCCAGCCGCCGCGGUAACAC